UACGUAGGCAGCGAGCGUUGUUCGGAAUUACUGGGCGUAAAGAGUGUGUAGGCGGUGCUCUAAGUUCCGUGUGAAAUCCCCAGGCUUAACCUGGGAAGUGCGCGGAAAACUGGCGAGCUUGAGUGCCGGAGAGGGUCGCGGAAUUCCCGGUGUAGAGGUGAAAUUCGUAGAUAUCGGGAGGAACACCAGUGGCGAAGGCGGCGACCUGGACGGACACUGACGCUGAGACGCGAAAGCGUGGGGGAGCAAACAGG
rnacentral:rRNA from 1 species